UCAUUAUCUAACUCUCUCUUCAGUGACUUCAGGGAAAACAGCAGCAGUUAAGCAAUGUUUGCCAAAAGCAAAUCUGGGGACGGGUGUUGAUUUUAAAAGAGAAGGAAAGAAGAGCUAGUUGCUCACUGCAGGUUCUCCUGGCUCGGUGGUGCGGAGGCAAAGGCCUGUUUCUGCAAAGACUUUGAGGACCCAUGACUCUUCCUCAACCUCCAGACCGCUGGAGGUCCCUGAUAGUUGAAUAAGCUAAGUACAGUGUGCCCGCCUAGUUCUUUCCUGGAAGAUGAAACGCAGCUCCCGAGUCGGGAGACGGAAGAAUGGAUAAACAUUCCUCAAUUGCUGUUGAUAGGUUCUCACCCCAGAACCCGGGCAGUCGGCCUCAUGCUCCAGAGUGCAGGUCCCGUAAGGCACCCAAGGGGAGCCGUCAAUUAGAGCCGUGCUUGAGCCUAAGGCUGACCUGAACCGUUUGAAGGCAGAUCUUCCAUGGAGCGCCCCGGUCCUUUUCUGGAAAGGUCAAAGGGACGAGAGGGGGUCUCUGCAGUGUCCUGGAUCUGGUUUCAACCUCACCUUCUCCAUGUAUGAGAAAACAAGUCACUUGGAUUCACUGUGCCUCGGUUUCCCCAGAUGGCGAGCAGGACUCAGUCUUUUGGAAACUGAUCUCUUACUAGAACUAAGUCAACAAGAGCUACCCUUGGACUCUAGAUGCCUGGGAGGGUCUGGAGUCGUCAGGCAGAAGGAGAAGGUGGAGCGGGUCUUCCCGGAGGCCGGCUCCCACAGGGGCGGCCAAGGCUCUGGGCCUCUCGGCGUGCCUCUGUGGAUCCUGUUGGAUCCAGAACCGUCUGGAUCACCUGAAGAGUUAUUUGAAACCAGCUGA
rnacentral:lncRNA from 1 species